GCAGUCGAACGAACUCUGGUAUUGAUUGGUGCUUGCAUCAUGAUUUACAUUUGAGUGAGUGGCGAACUGGUGAGUAACACGUGGGAAACCUGCCCAGAAGCGGGGGAUAACACCUGGAAACAGAUGCUAAUACCGCAUAACAACUUGGACCGCAUGGUCCGAGUUUGAAAGAUGGCUUCGGCUAUCACUUUUGGAUGGUCCCGCGGCGUAUUAGCUAGAUGGUGAGGUAACGGCUCACCAUGGCAAUGAUACGUAGCCGACCUGAGAGGGUAAUCGGCCACAUUGGGACUGAGACACGGCCCAAACUCCUACGGGAGGCAGCAGUAGGGAAUCUUCCACAAUGGACGAAAGUCUGAUGGAGCAACGCCGCGUGAGUGAAGAAGGGUUUCGGCUCGUAAAACUCUGUUGUUAAAGAAGAACAUAUCUGAGAGUAACUGUUCAGGUAUUGACGGUAUUUAACCAGAAAGCCACGGCUAACUACGUGCCAGCAGCCGCGGUAAUACGUAGGUGGCAAGCGUUGUCCGGAUUUAUUGGGCGUAAAGCGAGCGCAGGCGGUUUUUUAAGUCUGAUGUGAAAGCCUUCGGCUCAACCGAAGAAGUGCAUCGGAAACUGGGAAACUUGAGUGCAGAAGAGGACAGUGGAACUCCAUGUGUAGCGGUGAAAUGCGUAGAUAUAUGGAAGAACACCAGUGGCGAAGGCGGCUGUCUGGUCUGUAACUGACGCUGAGGCUCGAAAGUAUGGGUAGCAAACAGGAUUAGAUACCCUGGUAGUCCAUACCGUAAACGAUGAAUGCUAAGUGUUGGAGGGUUUCCGCCCUUCAGUGCUGCAGCUAACGCAUUAAGCAUUCCGCCUGGGGAGUACGGCCGCAAGGCUGAAACUCAAAGGAAUUGACGGGGGCCCGCACAAGCGGUGGAGCAUGUGGUUUAAUUCGAAGCUACGCGAAGAACCUUACCAGGUCUUGACAUACUAUGCAAAUCUAAGAGAUUAGACGUUCCCUUAGGGGACAUGGAUACAGGUGGUGCAUGGUUGUCGUCAGCUCGUGUCGUGAGAUGUUGGGUUAAGUCCCGCAACGAGCGCAACCCUUAUUAUCAGUUGCCAGCAUUAAGUUGGGCACUCUGGUGAGACUGCCGGUGACAAACCGGAGGAAGGUGGGGAUGACGUCAAAUCAUCAUGCCCCUUAUGACCUGGGCUACACACGUGCUACAAUGGAUGGUACAACGAGUUGCGAACUCGCGAGAGUAAGCUAAUCUCUUAAAGCCAUUCUCAGUUCGGAUUGUAGGCUGCAACUCGCCUACAUGAAGUCGGAAUCGCUAGUAAUCGCGGAUCAGCAUGCCGCGGUGAAUACGUUCCCGGGCCUUGUACACACCGCCCGUCACACCAUGAGAGUUUGUAACACCCAAAGUCGGUGGGGUAACCUUUUAGAACCA
rnacentral:rRNA from 2 species